rnacentral:tRNA from 1 species
GCCUGGUUAGUUUAACGGAUAGAAUGCAAUACUACGGAUAUUGAGGUUGGGGUUCGAUUCCCUGACUGGGUA